rnacentral:rRNA from 1 species
CCUGAGAGGGUGACCGGCCACACUGGAACUGAGACACGGUCCAGACUCCUACGGGAGGCAGCAGUGGGGAAUAUUGCACAAUGGGGGAAACCCUGAUGCAGCGACGCCGCGUGAGUGAAGAAGGUCUUCGGAUCGUAAAACUCUGUCCUUGGUGAAGAAAAGGACGGUAGCCAAGGAGGAAGCCCCGGCUAACUACGUGCCAGCAGCCGCGGUAAUACGUAGGGGGCGAGCGUUGUCCGGAUUUACUGGGCGUAAAGGGUGAGUAGGCGGUCAUAUAAGUCAGGUGUAAAAAGCUAAGGCUUAACCAUAGUAAGCACUUGAAACUGUAUGACUUGAGUGCAGGAGAGGUAAGCGGAAUUCCUAGUGUAGCGGUGAAAUGCGUAGAUAUUAGGAGGAACACCGGUGGCGAAGGCGGCUUACUGGACUGUAACUGACGCUGAGUCACGAAAGCGUGGGUAGCAAACAGGAUUAGAUACCCUGGUAGUCCACGCUGUAAACGAUGGAUACUAGGUGUAGGAGGUAUCGACCCCUUCUGUGCCGGAGUUAACACAAUAAGUAUCCCACCUGGGGAGUACGGCCGCAAGGUUGAAACUCAAAGGAAUUGACGGGGGCCCGCACAAGCAGUGGAGUAUGUGGUUUAAUUCGAAGCAACGCGAAGAACCUUACCAGGGCUUGACAUCCCUCUGACCGCACUAGAGAUAGUGCUUCCCUUCGGGGCAGAGGAGACAGGUGGUGCAUGGUUGUCGUCAGCUCGUGUCGUGAGAUGUUGGGUUAAGUCCCGCAACGAGCGCAACCC